ACUCACUAAACAGGAGAAGGAAAAGAUUCUUUUUGGGUCCCAGGCCCUGUGACUAAGACCCAUUCUAAUCUGGAGAACAGGCUUACCUGGACCAGCUGCACCCUCAAUACUUUCAGCUGAGCGGCCAUGGCCUUGAGCAUUGCAGGAAUUCCCACGGAGGCCGGCAGAGGGCGCGCACGCACCGCGAACAGGGAGGGGCCGGUUCCUUGCGCGCUCAGCGAAGGCUGGAGAAGGCGCCCAAUUAGGCUGUUCUGAUCCUGGGCGGCUCAGAGCAGGAAAGGUUCUCGUUGCUUCUGAGGACCCAGUACCUGUGACUGUGGGCAAAGAGCCAGAGCUGGGUUUCCAGCAGGUUCCGCCGCCGGCGUCGGGGAGACCCUGGACGCUUCGCAGCAACUUGGCGUCUCCUCAGUGGUGGGGCUGAGUACCGAGGAGGGGCGCUGGGUAGCUUCCCCAGAGGCACCUGAUGGUCAGUGAGCUGCUCAGCCACUUGCAUUUUCUGGGCUGUUCCAUGGUUUGUUCCUCGUUUUCCCUGCCGAUAUUUGAACAAGAUGUUUUUCAGUCAAGGAUCCGUGGAUUCAGGGGGUCCUUGCAAAGCCACGUCAGAGAUGCUGGGGUUGGUUUGUUCCAGAUUCAGGCUUGUUUUGGGGGGAGAAAUCCUGACACAAAUUUGGAGGAAUGGGAGCAGCAUUCAGUUGGGUAGUGAAGACAGGAAAUGUUGACUCUCAGGACCUUCUAGAAGAAUGAGCUGAGACCCACUUUCCGAGUCCUGCUGGAACCAGAGACCGAGAAAAUAAAAAGGCCCUGGAAGACAAGUGUAAUGUGUUGACGUCUGUGAAAGCAACCAAGGAAGCAAAAGUCAAACAGCUGAAGGAGAAAGCAGGCAUCCUUGAAGAAUUCUAUGAACAAAAGUGGCUACAGAAGAGUAAGAUGAUCAUGUGAUAACUGUCAUAAGUACCGCUGUAUGAAUGAAUGUGGCAGCCAGGAGAGAUACUUGUUUUGGAACUGGGUCCAGAGUCUUUUUGCCAAAUGCAUUCAGUAGAAUUGUGCCUUCCCUUCCUACCUUGCUUUCUGUAACCUGCAUUUUCCUUUCUGUCCUGAGUGCUUGUCACACAUUGUGUCAUGUAUUUGGGGCAGAAGAGGGAAGGUACCAGCAUUAAUAACAUUGAUACCUGGAUCUGCUCUGGAUCCAUCUACAUUGUCCUAUAGGUUUCAAUCCCAUCACGUUGUUUUGUCAUCGAUUAGGUCAUUUUUGUUCAGGACCAGACAUGGGUCAAAAGUGUGGAGGGAAAAAAUGGAAUUAUCCUGCUGCAGAAACAACAGUAAUUUCUUCCUGGAAAGUGGGUAGGGGCGCCAGCAGUACUGGAUCCCUGCAUCCAUUCUGCCAGUGAGAUUGUUCACUGCAGGCCCAAUCCCUAAGAAAGCCUAGUUAUUUCCUGUCCCCUGAUUUUUAAGUGUAACUCCUCUGGGUCUUGACCAAAGCCUGCAGCUUCACUAGGGCUCAUCUUUGCUGGCCGACCCUGAACUACACGUGUUUCAUUCUAAGUCUAUGCCCCUAAAGUUGUUCAGCUUCAAUGCAGUUCAUUUGUAAGCCUCCCAAAUCAUUGAUGAAACCUAGGGAGAUUGGCUCCAACUGCCAGGCUGGCUGUGUCAUGGGCUUCCUUCUUCUCUAUCUUGGUCUUGUGUGUCUUCAUGAGGUUGAUAGAAAUUUGGUGCAUUCAUUCACAUAUUUCCUCCUUUGUACAGUAUUUCCAUUCAUUCUCAGGCAGAGAUCGGGGCCUUUAGAGUCCCUCAUUCAUGAUGGGAAAUGAGCUCUUCUUUCUCCUCCCUGGAGACUCGGCUGUGUGUUAUUCCUUCCCACACCUGGGGUGAGGGCUGCUCUCAUUGGCAUCUUGUUUUCAUUAAUUUGUAAGCUCUUUUUGGGAGUGGGUACAGAGCCCUGACCACCUUUCUUCCUUCACUCCCUUACAACAGAGCCACUAUAUUACAACCACUCCAGAAAGCAUUUGCUGAAGGACUGCCUCAGAGGCCAGAAGGAAAUGCAUGUGCCUUUCUCUGUCUAGGGCUUUUGUGUCAGUUUCUAAGAGACUUUCAGUUUUGCAUGUGAUUCUUGAGUAAAUCAAGUGCCAAGUAGAAACCCUUUAAAUUAACUACACAAACAAAAUAGUCUGAUGGUAACACGGCAAACCAGCCUUUUUAGGCAUUUCCCUUUGUUGUCUUCACUAUCAAUGGAAUCAGUCUUGUUAAAGUAGAUUGACUGUAUGAAGUUAAUAGUUUUCCAUCUGAAAUCUGUUUCCUCUCCAGGAAACAGACUAUAUAUAAACCCAGACUAUAUGACAGUUCAUAUCAGGUUAUACUUCAGGAGAUUUGCUGCUCUAAGAUUGGCCUUUUCCUCCACCAAGAUAUAUGAAGGUAGAGGCAGGGGUUGUACUCCUAACCCCUACCAAUGUCAGGGAGUGAGCUGCAAUGCUGGUGAAGCCAUAUCCUGGAAGGUCUCUUUCAGGGUGAUUGUGUCAGGGUACAACUUUUGGACUGAGAAUCAGGGCUCCACAUGGAGGUGUAAGACUAGUGAUGAUCUCUUGCUUCAUCCUAAUGGGUACAGUUGGUCAUAGUUUGUGACAUUGCUGAAAUGAGCCUUCACCAUCUCAAACAAAAGACCAACUCUUGGAAGGCACAGAGUGCAACGUUAUUUGAUGACUUUAUGAUGAAGGAGUAGAAGCAGAGAACUAGAAAGACAGUUCUGAUAGCAAAGACAUGGCAGCAGACAGACGUUGAAUUUUCUUUAACUUAAAUGGGGUGUUCACUUCAUUUCUCUGAUUGUGUUGUCAGUCUGUGCAUUUACGGGAGAGAUGGGGAAAGGGAUAUUUGCCUUCAAGAGUGCUGGGAGGUAAAAAGGAAGAAUUUCUGGACCUUGGCUCCUGGACUACGUAUAUAUUUUUCCUAUCUUAGGAAGCUUAAAAUGACACAGUGUGAACUGGCGGCAAAGAAGAAUCAGCUGGCAGCUGCAGGGAAAAUUUGAAAAAAGCUACAGAAGAAAACAAGUACAAGUGAGUGCAGCUACUAAUUACCAGCAGCUCAUGAAAACUGCUCAUUUUUUGUUUUUAACCUUUUUACAAUGUUUAGACCCAACAUAGUAAUAUAAACACAAAUUCAGAGGACAUAGGCAUAGAGUAUUAGCAGACUAAAAAAAAGGUAAGUUUUAGAAAGAACAAAACAAUUACGUUUCUAAACAUUUGUGGAUCUCAAGCAAUGGCCAGACUGUAUAGAAAUUUCAUCAAUGCUAACGUUCCUGGGGGGUUGGUGUCAAGUGUCAUAAUCUAUAGGAAAGCAGUGUGUCGUAGGAUGUAUCAUACCCAUCAACAUGGUGGUGACAUUUAAUGGCCCUGGUCUUUGCAACCCUAGGAAACAUGGUGACGAUAUAAGUUAAAGAAUAGAGCUUUAUGAUGAAAGACACUUGUCAUGUGAUGAAUUAGGAAAAGAUUGAAAAUGGGAAGGAAUUCUAUGAACUCUGAACCCUAUGGGCAUGGAAUAAUGAGUAAGGAAAGGAUGGAACAAUAGCUUUGAUCCUACUGUACAUUUAUAACCAUGUAAAGAGUGUUUCAUGUGUAAGAAUAAAUUAUAUCAGGGGACAGAUAUGAGGCUGAUGGAAACGUGGGCAGAUUAUGUAUAAUCCUAACCAAUAUCGGGCCUUAUUUGAUGAAAGCAAUUGUAACUCACAGGCAACAAAUUGAACAAACAAGAGAACAGGCUGCAACAGGCAGAGCUCACCUUCAGACAUCAGGUAACCUGAGUUCUGCCUGACGUAUUGAACCCUUAGCACCUCAUGCGGGUGAGUGUAGUGGCCCUUGGAAUCCCUAAACAUGGGCUUUUCAUUGUUGGCUUUUUCAGAUCGCAGUUUAUGAGAAGAAUGCUCAGGACAACUGGGUGUUUUCUUUUUUCCUCCUCUCUCUCUUUGGUGCACAGUCUGGUACAACUGAAGGUGGAUAUGUUUUUCUCCCCCAGAUCAAGAUCCGUCUGGGAGAGGGAGAUGACAGAGCAGAGCAGGGAGGUCACCUACUUGAAAAUACAGGUAUGGUAGUUUGACUUGUGUUUUUAUGGAUGUUUCCAGGGAUGAUGCCUGUGCUGUUAUCUAGUAGAGUACGUGGUGUUGCAACUCUUAUAGAAGUCCAUUCUUUUUCUUUAUCCAAGACUGGAUGUGAUGGAAGGAAAGAGGCUGCCUGUGGGAUGCCUGAGGCAGAAACCAAUGCCUGGAAGACUGCUGUGCAGCCUGUUCCUGUGGGUGAUCAUCGUGUGGCCUGAAAAGAAUCACAAGCACUAAGUACAGAAGAUGGUCUGAAGGGGUGACAGAAGGGUGUUCUCCUCUGUGCCUCAGACAGCAGGGCACCUGUCCCUGUGAUUGGUGGAGCUCAUGUCCCUCCCCUGUGACCCUCCCACCUCCUCCAGCAUUCCCCUGUAUAUAGUGAUGAGCCUGGAGGGGUGACAGGACAUGGGCCUAAUCCCCCUUUCCCACCUUGACUCAAUGUGAAGACCUUAUUUUAGUUUGAGGAGAAGGUCACUUAUUUGAUAUUUUUAACAUUCUUUAUUUUUGUUUUAUUUUCUUGUGAACCAUAGCCCUACAUUCCUAAAUUCAAGUUCCAUAUAGCUUAGUACUCUGAUGUUAUCAGUGCAAGUCUGCAGUAUCACUGCUAAAGUCCCAUAGUUUUCAUUUUCUGAUUAGUAUAAUAUUAGUCUAAAUACAUUUCUAUUCAGAAAUAGUUAUAUAAUAACUGUUCACAUGUGGAAGGCACCUUAUACAUAAGUGGAAAGAUUGAACAAUCCACAUGGAACCUAAAGAAACUUACCCAUCUUCAGGAUUCAUUGAUGAUAUACACCAAAUCAGUAUUCUCAUUUUUAUUAAAUUUAUUUAUUUUGAGAUAGAGAGUGUGUGUGUUUGGGAGGGAUAGAGAGAGGCAGAGAGAGAGAAUCCCAAGCAGGCUUCACUCUGUCAGUGAGAAGCCCAAUCCUGGGCCCGAACUCAAAAGCUGUGAGAUCAUGAGCUGAGUGGAAAUCAAGAGUCGGAUGCUUAACCGAAUGAGCCACUCAGACAUCCUCAUAUUUAUUCUUAAUCUGUAAUGAAAUAGUGAUUUCCCAUGAUGUAAACUGAGAAAUUUCUGUUUUACUGAUGAAUUCUAAAUUACUAGUUGAGCCUGACCUGUCCACAGUUAUUUGAUUAAUUAUGAAAAACACGAACCAGGGCACCAUGGAGUCUGCAUUAAGGUGAGGGGAUGGUUCUCCCCCUUAUCCUUGGGGGUCACCAGAGGCACAUGGAAUACACUCUGCCUCUGGUCAGGGACCUGAGUGUAGGGAAAAGUUUAAGAUAUGUGAAGAAUGAGAUGAGGACUUGUUUUAAUUCCGCACAGUCCACUAAAAUCAGAAUAAACCUCUAUCCCUUCUAGGGCCUUUAGCAGAUUCAGAAACUGGUGCAGCCUUUGUGAGUUACAGCAGUUCUGACUGUACCAAGAAUGAAGACAAGGACAAGGGCAGCGUGGAUCCAUGGAGACCUCCUCCAUUAACUGGAAGAUUCUGCAUUCCCUACCCUAGAGGUAGCCCCAUGGACUAUUAGGCACAUCCACCUCCUGAAGCUUAGUGGCCCGGUCGAUCCCCUGAACCCCUCCACCUGCAACACUUGGUACGAUGAUCGGAACAGUAUGAGUUGACUUGUGAAGUACACUCACCUUAUUUUUGUUGGGUCUUUGGUCAAGGUGCAGAGUUGGUACCACAGAUCAUUGCAAUGCAAGGGAAAUGUGUCUGCUGCCAUUACCACAUUCCUCAAGUGUCUCAUGAUUGACAUAUCAUCUUUGUCAUUUCCCCCACCAUGUAUUGGUACAGGUGUCUCUUGUGGAGAAGGAAUGGGGCUGUAUGCAGAAAAGCAGACAUAGCAGUUCAGCAGAAAUGCUCUACACACAGUCCACGUGCUGGGAUCUGUGAGGCAUGAGGCUCAGCCAAACUUAUCCAUCUAGUCGUGCUCCCCAGACAUCCAUAGUUGUUCGAUGAGUGAUGAAUACAUCUGAAUCAGGGCUUUUAGGAGUCUUCAUUAAGUUAUAAGGGAUAAGUUCUUCUUGGGGAUCACCUGAGGCAUGCAGGAUACUCUCUGCAUGUGAUUUGCAAUCUGACUGGGCCAAAGAGUUUAAGUUGUCUAAGGAAUGAGGGGAUUUUUUUUUGUUUGUUUGUUUUUAAACCUCCAGUCUACUCAAAUCAGAAUAAACCUCCAUCCCUUCUAGGGCCUUUAGCAGAUCCAGAAGCAGGUGUCACUCCCGAGAGUGACAACAACACUGACUCUACCAAAACUGCCAAGAUGCACAAGGUAAACGCUAUGGCCAUUUUCAGUUUUAAGUCUUUUGGGACACCCACAUCUUUUUGUAUAGCAUGCUCUCCUGCCAUUGCCUCUAGUUUGUGUGUCGUAUGAUAUGUCUGCUUGUUUUUUUUUUUAAUUUUCCAAAUGCACAGCCUUUACCCAGAAGUCUACAGGCUUCCCUGUUUUCCACCUGGAAUUGCUUUGUGGUAACUUUAGAAGCUAACCGUGCUUAGGGGUGAGGACCUUAGGGCUUUUCCAAUGUGUUCCUGGAAUAAAUCAAGGAGGAUGAUACCACACUCCACUUGGAAGUCUUCUAGCUUGUAUCGUUUUUUCUGGACCUCCUCAGUGUGGAAUCAUUGCUCUUGCUGUUUCUUCCUUUCCUGUUUCUAUCAAGGGUUUUAAUGUAUUCAGAAAAGUCUGUGGAUAUCUUUUCAAUCUGAAAUGGCGAACUGCCUUCACUCCAACUUACAUUUUUGUAUGUGUCAUUUAGAGUGGUCUUAAACAAAGUAAAUUUCAUACCCAUCAAUAUUCAAUAGUUUUUUGGUAAACAUGCUGUCCAGAAUCCCUUCAGGUGUGUCCUGGGUAUAAAUACUCUGACCUAUAUAGGAGGUGACAUAUUUGUUGUAGAAAACAUGCACUGAAACUUGUGAAGAGAAAAAAUCCAAAAUUACCUGUAUGGCAAGUGCCCACUGUGUCCUUCAUUUGUGUUCACAUAAGCAGGUUCUCUUGUGUCCUUUGUCACAGGUACAGCUAAAACACAGAAAUUUACACCAGAAAUAAAGGGCAUUUUGUUAUUUAGAAUUUCACCUCAUUUUUCCAGAGGAGACAAUUACCCUGCAAAUUGUACUGUACUUAAGCUGAGAAGUACCUCUGAAUUUAAAAAAAAUUAGCUGAACCCAACUAACAUGUAUAGGUUACCUGUUUCUCUAAGAACAUGCUUUUCCAGGUC